CUUUGACUUGCAAGUCAUGAAGGACGCCUUCAGAUGUAUUUAACCGACAAUGCAAAUACGAAAGGCAACAAGAAAAAAUAAAGCACACACAUUGAGGUAUACAAUUGUCAUCUGGAAUAUACACCAAAUAAAAUCAGCUCAUGCAAUGGAGUCAUGACUUCAGUGGAUCAAGACAUGGUUCAGAUAGAUCAAACAUGAAGAGUAUUGGAGAGUAUGCUGGCUGAAGAAAGUGAUCAUGGAAGGCAGCAGUCCUGAAAUUCUCCUUCUUGCCUUCCCAUCAGUGGUCCAUUAGUAACACUGGAGUUUUCAUUGGAUCAAUUUGUUAUUCUAUAUUUUAACUUUUAAACCAAAUGUUAAGAGUAUUUAGGUCAUUCUGACUCUACAAAGUGCAUAUUCAAGGAGCAUUUGAAAUCAAAAGAAAAGUGGCUAUUCUAUAAAAAAAACAAAUCCUCCAAAAGGAAGCAUGAAGGAGAUAAUAGUCUAAGGAGGUUUUGAG
rnacentral:lncRNA from 1 species